rnacentral:rRNA from 1 species
UACGUAUGGUGCAAACGUUGUCCGGAAUGACUGGGUGUAAAGGGUGUGUAGGCGGACUGACAAGUCAGGUGUGAAAUCCCCGGGCUCAACCUGGGAACUGCGCUUGAAACUGUUAGACUAGAGUAUGUGAGAGGUGAGUGGAAUUCCCGGAGUAGCGGUGAAAUGCGUAGAUAUCGGGAAGAACACCAGUGGCGAAGGCGACUCACUGGCACAAGACUGACGCUGAGGCACGAAAGCGUGGGGAGCGAACGGG